rnacentral:rRNA from 1 species
UCCAGAGAAUUUAGCAGAGAUGCUUUAGUGCCUUCGGGAACUCUGAGACAGGUGCUGCAUGGCUGUCGUCAGCUCGUGUUGUGAAAUGUUGGGUUAAGUCCCGNAACGAGCGCAACCCUUUAUCCUUUGUUGCCAGCACGUAAUGGUGGGAACUCAAAGGAGACUGCCGGUGAUAAACCGGAGGAAGGUGGGGAUGACGUCAAGUCAUCAUGGCCCUUACGAGUAGGGCUACACACGUGCUACAAUGGCGCAUACAAAGAGAAGCGACCUCGCGAGAGCAAGCGGACCUCAUAAAGUGCGUCGUAGUCCGGAUUGGAGUCUGCAACUCGACUCCAUGAAGUCGGAAUCGCUAGUAAUCGUAAAUCAGAAUGUUACGGUGAAUACGUUCCCGGGCCUUGUACACACCGCCCGUCACACCAUGGGAGUGGGUUGCAAAAGAAGUAGAUAGCUUAACCUUCGGGAGGGCGUUUACCACUUUGUGAUUCAUGACUGGGGUGAAGUCGUAACAAGGUAGGCGUAGUGCU